CGGCGGACGGGUGAGUAACACGUGGAUAACCUACCUAUAAGACUGGGGUAACUUCGGGAAACCGGAGCUAAUACCGGAUAAUAUAUUGAACCGCAUGGUUCAAUAGUGAAAGACGGUUUUGCUGUCACUUAUAGAUGGAUCCGCGCCGCAUUAGCUAGUUGGUAAGGUAACGGCUUACCAAGGCAACGAUGCGUAGCCGACCUGAGAGGGUGAUCGGCCACACUGGAACUGAGACACGGUCCAG
rnacentral:rRNA from 1 species